rnacentral:lncRNA from 1 species
UUUUUCCAGGAUUUUCUCUUGGGCCCGUUUUUGCAGAGAAGAUUGAGUUUACCUGAACAGUUGGGGUGACUGCACCGGCCCCCCGCCUACCGGUGGGCUGACACCUGCACUCAAUAAAUGUAAUUGAGACGGAAUGUGUUAAAACAGGGACACUAUAAACUGGUUAAAGAUGGCUUGUCGGGAAAACUAAUUUCCACACGUCACAACAUUUUAUAACUCAAACAACUUCAUUUUUACUGCACUGAAACUUUGGUGAGAAGAUUGAGUUUCAAAACUCAAUUCAAGAUUGAGUUUUUG